rnacentral:rRNA from 1 species
GUGAAGAGGUGUGAGGGGGCGGGGGUGAUGCGUGGGGUGGGGAGUUGAAGCGGAAGUACGGUGCGUAAGGCGGUCGCAGGAGGGGUUGUAGUACAGAGUGUGAAUCCCCGGGCGUAACCUGGGAAGGGCAUUUGGGACUGCAAGGCGGGAGUGCGGCAGAGGAGACUGGAAUUCCUGGUGUAGCAGUGAAAUGCGUAGAUAUCAGGAGGAACACCGAUGGCGAAGGCAGGUCUCUGGGCUGACACUGACGCUCAUGCACGGAAGCGUGGGGAGCAAACAGGAUUGGAUACCCCGGUAGUC